CAGCCGCCGCGGGAAUACGAAGGGGGCUAGCGUUGCUCGGAGUUACUGGGCGUAAAGGGAGCGUAGGCGGGUCGUUUAGUCAGAGGUGAAAUCCCGGGGCUCAACCUCGGAACUGCCUUUGAUACUGGCGACCUUGAGUAUGGGAGAGGUGAGUGGAACUCCGAGUGUAGAGGUGAAAUUCGUAGAUAUUCGGAAGAACACCAGUGGCGAAAGCGACUCACUGGCCCAUUACUGACGCUGAGGCUCGAAAGCGUGGGGAGCAAACAGGAUUAGAUACCCGCGUAGUCCCUGUCUCUUAUAC
rnacentral:rRNA from 1 species